AUUGAACGCUGGCGGCAGGCCUAACACAUGCAAGUCGAGCGAGCGGCGGACGGGUGAGUAAUGUCUGGGAAACUGCCUGAUGGCGGGGGAUAACUACUGGAAACGGUAGCUACUACCGCAUACCAUCAGAUGUGCCCAGAUGGGAUUGGCUAGUAGGUGGGUUAACGGCUCACCUAGGCGACGAUCCCUAGCUGGUCUGAGAGGAUGACGUGCCACACUGGAACUGAGACACGGUCCAGACUCCUACGGGAGGCAGCAGUGGGGAAUAUUGCACAAUGGGCGCAAGCCUGAUGCAGCCAUGCCGCGUGUGUGAAGAAGGCCUUCGGGUUGUAAAGCACUUUCAGCCGGGAGGCGUUACUCACAGAAGAAGCACCGGCUAACUCCGUGCCAGCAGCCGCGGUAAUUC
rnacentral:rRNA from 1 species